rnacentral:rRNA from 1 species
UGGGGAAUUUUGGGACAAUGGGCGCAAGCCUGAUCCAGCCAUGCCGCGUGCGGGAAGAAGGCCUUCGGGUUGUAAACCGCUUUUGUCAGGGAAGAAAUCUUCNGAGUUAAUACCUCGGGAGGAUGACGGUACCUGAAGAAUAAGCACCGGCUAACUACGUGCCAGCAGCCGCGGUAAUACGUAGGGUGCAAGCGUUAAUCGGAAUACUGGGCGUAAAGCGUGCGCAGGCGGUUUUGUAAGACAGAGGUGAAAUCCCCGGCGUCAACCUGGGAACUGCCUUUGUGACUGCAAGGCUUGAGUGCGGCAGAGGGGGAUGGAAUUCCGCGUGUAGCAGUGAAAUGCGUAGAUAUGCGGAGGAACACCGAUGGCGAAGGCAAUCCCCUGGGCCUGCACUGACGCUCAUGCACGAAGCGUGGGGAGCAAACAGGAUUAGAUACCCUGGUAGUCCACGCCCUAAACGAUGUCAACUGGUUGUUGGGAAGGUUCCUUCUCAGUAACGUAGCUAACGCGUGAAGUUGACCGCCUGGGGAGUACGGCCGC